ACCUACGGGAGGCAGCAGUGGGGAAUAUUGCACAAUGGGCGAAAGCCUGAUGCAGCAACGCCGCGUGAAGGAAGACGGUUUUCGGAUUGUAAACUUCUAUCAAUAGGGAAGAAAGAAAUGACGGUACCUAAAUAAGAAGCCCCGGCUAACUACGUGCCAGCAGCCGCGGUAAUACGUAGGGGGCAAGCGUUAUCCGGAUUUACUGGGUGUAAAGGGAGCGUAGGCGGCAUAGCAAGUCUGAAGUGAAAGCCCGUGGCUCAACCGCGGAACUGCUUUGGAAACUGUUAAGCUGGAGUACUGGAGAG
rnacentral:rRNA from 1 species